UACGAAGGGGGCUAGCGUUGCUCGGAAUUACUGGGCGUAAAGGGAGCGUAGGCGGAUAGUUUAGUCAGAGGUGAAAGCCCAGGGCUCAACCUUGGAAUUGCCUUUGAUACUGGCUAUCUUGAGUAUGGAAGAGGUAUGUGGAACUCCGAGUGUAGAGGUGAAAUUCGUAGAUAUUCGGAAGAACACCAGUGGCGAAGGCGACAUACUGGUCCAUUACUGACGCUGAGGCUCGAAAGCGUGGGGAGCAAAC
rnacentral:rRNA from 1 species